UGGGGUAUCGCCAAGCGGUAAGGCACGGGAUUCUGACUCCCGCAUUCCUAGGUUCAAAUCCUAGUACCCCAGCCA
rnacentral:tRNA from 1 species